rnacentral:rRNA from 1 species
UCAGAUGUGAAAGCCCAGGGCUCAACCUUGGAACUGCGUUUGAAACUGUUUAACUUGAGUUCGGGAGAGGAAGGUGGAAUUCCCAGUGUAGCGGUGAAAUUCGUAGAUAUUGGGAAGAACACCGGUGGCGAAGGCGGCCUUCUGGUCCGUUACUGACGCUGAGGUACGAAAGCGUGGGGAGCAAACAGGAUUAGAUACCCUGGUAGUCCACGCCGUAAACGAUGGUGCUAGAUGUCGGAGUAUCGAUCCCUUCGGUGCCCAACCUAACGCAUUAAGCAUCCGCCUGGGGAGUACGGCCGCAAGGUUAAAACUCAAAGGAAUUGACGG